rnacentral:snRNA from 1 species
GUGCUUACUUCAGUAGCACAUAUCCUAAAAUUGGAACAAUAUAGAGAAAAUUAGCAUGGCCCCUGUGCAAGGAAAAAUUCGUGAAUUUUCUCACAAAUUC